ensembl:lncRNA
GUACAUGGUGUCCAGGUCAGGACAAAAAGACACAUUUAUUUCUUAAAAACUAUCAGAAAGAAUAAUGGGCUGUUAUAAUACUGUACAUGGUGUCCAGGUGAGGACAACCAGAACAUUUAUUUAUUAAAAACUAUCAGAAAGAAUAAUGGGCUGUUAUAAUUUUGUACAUGGUGUCCAGGUCAGGACAACCAGAACAUUUAUUUAUUAAAGACUAUCAGAAAGAAUAAUGGGCUGUUAUAAUACUGUACAUGGUGUCCAGGUCAGGACAACCAGAACAUUUAUUUAUUAAAGACUAUCAGAAAGAAUAAUGGGCUGUUAUAAUACUGUACAUGGUGUCCAGGUCAGGAUUACCAGAACAUUUCUGUAUUAAAGACUUUCAGAUAGAAGUUGGUACUUUUAUUUUGAUCCAAAGCCCAUGAAUGACUGAGUCACUCAGCUCUAUGUAGGUGCCAAGUUUAUAUGACUGAGUCACUCAGCUCUAUGUAGGUGCCGAGGCUAUAUGACUGAGUCACUUAGCUCUAUGUAAGUGCCGACUAUAUGACUGAGUCACUCAGCUCUAUGUAGGUGCCGGCUAUAUGACUGAGUCACUCAGCUUUAUGUAGGUGCCGAGGCGAUAUGACUGAGUCACUCAGCUCUAUGUAAGUGCCGAGUGACGAUGUUGUUGGUGAUGUAUGGUGAGGACCUUCCUUGCUACAGGCCUACAAGCCCCCAGUCCAGCCUCUCUCAGCCUAUUGCGGACAGUCUGAGCACUGAUGGAGGGAUUGUGCAUUCCUGAACAAGCAUGGGAAACAGUGUUUAAUUAAACCCUUUACAAUGAAGAUCUGUUUGGAUUUUUACGAAUUAUCUUUGAAUGACAGGGUCCUGAAAAAGGGACGUUUCUUUUUUUGCUUUAUCAAAAGCCUUUUCAAAGUCAGUUAUGAAUACCAGGCCUGGUUUCCCAGAUUUUUCAUAAUGUUCUUCCAGUACUUGUUUUAUAUUAUCUCCGAUGUAUCGUCCAUGUAAAAAACCUUUCUGAUUAGGCUGAAUAAUAUCUGACCUUCUUAAUUCUAUGAACUAUGCAUUUUGCUAAAAUUUUUGCAUCACAAUACUGAAGUGUAAGAGUCCUCCAAUUUUGCUUAGAUUUGCUAGGGCGUUGGGGAUGAUGGAUGGGCAUCUGACUCUGCUUCAAAAGGUUGCAUGUUCUUAAUGCUGAUAUUUAAGGUUAGGUUAAAUUUAGUCAUUAACUCAGAAUUCCUAAGGUUAUGCAUUAACUCUGAACAGACAGUUAACCCACUGUUCCUAGGCCGUCAUUGAAAAUAAGAAUUUGUUCUUAACUGACUUGCCUAGUUAAAUAAAGGUAAAAAAAAAAAUGUAAAUGGUUAAGGUAAGGGUUAAGGUCUGGGAUAGGUUUCAAACAAAAAUAUCAACAACGACUUUUUAUCGCUGGAUUCAAACAUGCUUUCAAACAGCUAUCCCAAACCUUAACCCUGGUACCCUCUCUCUGCUCCACCUCCCUCCAUUCCACACCGGUUACACCUAUCCCAAACCUUAACCCUGGUACCCUCUCUCUGCUCCACCUCCCUCCAUUCCACACAGGUUACACCUAUCCCAAACCUUAACCCUGGUACCCUCUCUCUGACUCCCCCUUCUCUCUGCUCCACCUCCCUCCAUUCCACACAGGUUACAGCUAUCCUUAACCCUGGUACCCUCUCUCUGCUCCACCUCCCUCCAUUCCACACCGGUUACACCUAUCCCAAACCUUAACCCUGGUACCCUCUCUCUGACUCCCCCUUCUCUCUGCUCAGCUAUCCCAAACCUUAACCCUGGUACCCUCUCUCUGACUCCCCCUUCUCUCUGCUCCACCUCCCUCCAUUCCACACCAGUUACAGCUAUCCUUAACCCUGGUACCCUCUCUCUGCUCCACCUCCCUCCAUUCCACACCGGUUACACCUAUCCCAAACCUUAACCCUGGUACCCUCUCUCUGACUCCCCCUUCUCUCUGCUCAGCUAUCCCAAACCUUAACCCUGGUACCCUCUCUCUGACUCCCCCUUCUCUCUGCUCCACCUC